rnacentral:rRNA from 1 species
AGAGUUUGAUCCUGGCUCAGGAUGAACGCUGGCGGCGUGCCUAAUACAUGCAAGUCGAGCGAACUGAUUAGAAGCUUGCUUCUAUGACGUUAGCGGCGGACGGGUGAGUAACACGUGGGCAACCUGCCUGUAAGACUGGGAUAACUUCGGGAAACCGAAGCUAAUACCGGAUAGGAUCUUCUCCUUCAUGGGAGAUGAUUGAAAGAUGGUUUCGGCUAUCACUUACAGAUGGGCCCGCGGUGCAUUAGCUAGUUGGUGAGGUAACGGCUCACCAAGGCAACGAUGCAUAGCCGACCUGAGAGGGUGAUCGGCCACACUGGGACUGAGACACGGCCCAGACUCCUACGGGAGGCAGCAGUAGGGAAUCUUCCGCAAUGGACGAAAGUCUGACGGAGCAACGCCGCGUGAGUGAUGAAGGCUUUCGGGUCGUAAAACUCUGUUGUUAGGGAAGAACAAGUACGAGAGUAACUGCUCGUACCUUGACGGUACCUAACCAGAAAGCCACGGCUAACUACGUGCCAGCAGCCGCGGUAAUACGUAGGUGGCAAGCGUUAUCCGGAAUUAUUGGGCGUAAAGCGCGCGCAGGCGGUUUCUUAAGUCUGAUGUGAAAGCCCACGGCUCAACCCGUGGGAGGGUCAUUG